rnacentral:rRNA from 1 species
UACGAAGGGAGCUAGCGUUGUUCGGAAUCACUGGGCGUAAAGCGCACGUAGGCGGAUGUGUCAGUCAGGGGUGAAAUCCCGGAGCUCAACUUCGGAACUGCCCUUGAUACAGCACGUCUUGAGUCCGGAAGAGGUGGGUGGAAUUCCUAGUGUAGAGGUGAAAUUCGUAGAUAUUAGGAAGAACACCGGUGGCGAAGGCGCCCACUGGUCCGGUACUGGACGCGAGGUGC